AACGAACGCUGGCGGCAGGCUUAACACAUGCAAGUCGAACGGCUGUAGCAAUACAGCAGUGGCAGACGGGUGAGUAACACGUGGGAACCUUCCUAGGGGUACGGAACAACUCAGGGAAACUUGAGCUAAUACCGUAUACGUCCGUAAGGAGAAAGAUUCAUCGCCCCUAGACGGGCCCGCGUCGGAUUAGGUAGUUGGUGGGGUAACGGCCUACCAAGCCUGCGAUCCGUAGCUGAUCUGAGAGGAUGAUCAGCCACACUGGGACUGAGACACGGCCCAGACUCCUACGGGAGGCAGCAGGUGGGGAAUCUUGGACAAUGGGCGCGAAGCCUGAUCCAGCCAUGCCGCGUGAGUGAAGAA
rnacentral:rRNA from 1 species